ACAAUACUGCCCCUGGGGUGUUCACACGCAUCUCCUCCAGGUUUUGCUUUGCCUUGGCCCGAAGCGAACGAAUCCUCCUCCUCCUCCUCCUCCUCGCUCCCUCUGCUAGACUGGCGUGGAGAUUCGUCCGGACUUAGGUGCUGCGGACUGGGCAAAUAGAUCUUGCUCAAUUUGGAGUUGACCCCAGUAAAUACAAGUUCACGGUGGACUCAUUCCUGGAGGCUUUGGAAGACUCUGUUGCCAAAGCUUGUGCAUCUGGAGACAAGAAUGUGCAGUCCCAGGGAGGCAGUGGAAAUGAUCCCAUGGACGAGAGUUGGUAAGGCGGC